UCCCUAGUGGCUCAGAUGGUAAAGAAUCUGCCUGCAGUGCAGGAGACCCAGGUUUGAUCUCUGGAUUGGGAA
rnacentral:tRNA from 1 species